AUUGAGGAAACACCUUAAACCGUAAUUGUGUGGUUUUGCUUUACUCACAGAACUAUUUCUUGGUUUGGUGGGAAGUAACUACAAAGCAGUU
rnacentral:snoRNA from 1 species